ACAAGCCGAUUGGGUGCAGCGACAGCAGGAGGCUGUCAUGCGCCAGGAGUAGCGGGUUGAGGGACUCCAAGAAACGGUUGGUCGAUUGGUGAUUGUACCAGUUUCGACUCGUCGAGUACGGCCGGGAGUCGCGGGGGAAAUGUUUCCGUCGGGGUCGGGUGAUCCGACUUCUAGCAGUUCGUUGGUGGAGGCGGUGAGGAGGGCGAGUUUUG
rnacentral:lncRNA from 1 species